rnacentral:rRNA from 1 species
GACAGAGGAUGCAAGCGUUAUCCGGAAUGAUUGGGCGUAAAGCGUCUGUAGGUGGCUCUUUAAGUCCGCCGUCAAAUCCCAGGGCUCAACCCUGGACAGGCGGUGGAAACUACCAAGCUGGAGUACGGUAGGGGCAGAGGGAAUUUCCGGUGGAGCGUGAAAUGCGUAGAGAUCGGAAAGAACACCAACGGCGAAGCACUCUGCUGGCCGACACUGACACUGAGAGACGAAAGCUAGGGGAGCGAAUGGG